UGCUUUUGGGUAUGUUUUUCAUCCAGACAUUUCCUGGUGCAUUUUUUUGACUUUUUUUUUCAGAACUGAGGUUGAGUGUUUUCUUCUUUGUGUGAAAGAGCACCUGACCUCCUAACAAGUGUCUCUGAACUCCGUGAGAAAUCCUUGCAAGGCUUUGCUGUUGGCCUCUGCAGGCAGCAGCCCUAAGUUCUGAUGAGACAGAGAUUAGAGCCAGCUGAUUGUAUUGGCAGUAAGAAGAACAAAAAGGCAGAUUCUUUGAAAGGUCACAAGUAUCCAUGAGUAGCCAUUAUGAAAAGGGAAAGAGGAACUGAGAAGAGAGCCACAUCAGAGUCUCAGCAGGUUUCUGUGAGAGACCUGGGCAGAAGUUACUAUGGUCUGAGAGAUGAGGAUGGAGCCUGGGGAGAGCUGGAGUCCCUGUGCUUUUCAGGUAUGUGAACAAAAUUAACAUCAUUGAUCAUAUCUAGGUAAGAAUGUACAGGGCACAAAAUCACCUGGAAUUUUCCCACAUUCACUUUGUGAUAGGCAUGCAAUUGUUUCACAGUCUCCUGUUUAAUUUCUUGCCACUUCAUAGAGGAUGAAGACAAAUUGAAUGUCAUGGGCUGCCCGAUUCAAAGUCCUUUUGAAGUUGAGGUAUGGAUUAAUAUUUGUUUUCUAUUCUUUUGUUGUGUUAAGGGUGCAUCAGCUGCAAUACUGUGGAUGUUUCCCUAGAAAUGCUUCAUAUCAUUAAACUGUAACUUUUAUUCAUGAGGGAAAAUAUUUUUUCUCCACCACAAAAAUCCACACAAAACCCCACAAAAAUCUUUGCUAGAAGGCUGUUAAAAAGUGCCUGAAGUUAUGUCCAUGGAGUCAAAUAAGAGAAGUUUAAGUAUCUGUGCAGGCAGUGGGUGCAAUAAGACAAAACCCAGUUAAUAAUCUAGGGGUUUUUAUCCUCAGUCGCUAAAGCUUGCUACAGUGCAGAAAUCAGGCCAUAAAAGUGUGUGCAAUAAUGUUAAAAACGAGUGAUGCUCAUUUUGCCUGUGAUAGAAGGAAAGGCAAAGGCCUCUCACCCAUGGGCUGAUACCACAGCAGUGUGAGCCUCUGCACCCAGUUCUGAGGCUGUGCUGUCAGCCCUGAGCCAGCCCUGACAGGCCAGCAGGGAUACUCCUGAAGUUGCAGAUCUAAUUGAAACAGCUCUGACAAAGUAGAUCAGAUGUCUGGGGGCACAGAAGGUGUGUUUGCAGUUAGGUUGAGAAAAGGAUUUUUGCUUUGCUUUGUUGUCACUAAUGUUGCAUCUACUGAAAUCAAAAGCUUCAGCACUGAAAUGCAGUCAUAGUGAUUUCUGCAGUUCUCUCUUGUUUCUUUACCUUGCGG
rnacentral:lncRNA from 1 species